rnacentral:piRNA from 2 species
UCAAACCCAACAAAGCCCCUGGACUAGA